rnacentral:tRNA from 1 species
UUAUAAUUAAGUUAAGAAGACUAAACUAUUAGCUUGUGGUGCUAAAUAUACAAAUUUUGUAUUAUAAA